CGUUCCCGGGCCUUGUACACACCGCCCGUCACACCACGAAAGUCGGCAACGCCCGAAGCCAGUGGCCUAACCCUUUUGGGAAGGAGCUGUCGAAGGUGGGGUCGGCGAUUGGGGUG
rnacentral:rRNA from 1 species